rnacentral:rRNA from 1 species
CCUACGGGAGGCAGCAGUGAGGACUAUUGGUCAAUGGACGAGAGUCUGAACCAGCCAAGUAGCGUGAAGGAUGACUGCCCUAUGGGUUGUAAACUUCUUUUAUAUGGGAAUAAAAUGUUCCACGUGUGGGAUUUUGUAUGUACCAUAUGCAUAAGGAUCGGCUAACUCCGUGCCAGCAGCCGCGGUAAUACGGAGGAUCCGAGCGUUAUCCGGAUUUAUUGGGUUUAAAGGGAGCGUAGGUGGAUUGUUAAGUCAGUUGUGAAAGUUUGCGGCUCAACCUUACAAUUGCAGUUGAAACUGGCAGUCUUGAGUACAGUAGAGGUGGGCGGAAUUCGUGGUGUAGCGGUGAAAUGCGUAGAUAUCACGAAGAACUCCGAUUGCGAAGACAGUUCACUGGACUGCAACUGACACUGAGGCUCGAAAGUGUGGGUAUCAAACAGGAUUAGAUACCCCAGUAGUC